rnacentral:tRNA from 1 species
GGGCCGGUAGCUCAGCGCGGCUGGAGCGUUCGGCUGAUAACCGAAAGGUCGCCGGUUCAAAUCCGGCUCGGCCCA